rfam:Cricetulus griseus cell line CHO-K1, whole genome shotgun sequence.
GGAUUCGAGGGCAAUUUGACUGUGACAUCAUUAACCACACUCACUUCCAGGCAUAAUCUGGCUGUCUAGGGAAAUUUUCUGUUCUUCCCUUACUGUUUCAUGUGCAUUCCUCAUGAUGCUGUGUACUCAGUGGAAGAGGACCACACUCCCCAAACAGAGGAGGUCUCUCCCAAAAUGGAGCAGCUCUCCAUCUUCAUUAAGGGUACAUGAGAGCUAGUGAUCACCUGCUAGAACCUCAAAACAAUCUCUCAAUAAAUAGAUUUGUAAGACACUUGGUAUGUUGUAGACUUUUAGUAAGGAGCAGUAAAUUGCUAACUCAGAUUUAAUGAUUCAGAGUCCUUU